ensembl:snRNA U1 U1 spliceosomal RNA
ACACUUACCUGGCAGGGGAGAUAUCAUGAUCAUAAAGGUGGUUUUCCCAGGGUAAAGCUCAUCCAUUGCACUCCAGGAGUGCUGACCCCUGCGAUUUCCCCAAGUUCAGGAAACUUGACUUCAUAAUAUGUGGUAGUAGGGGACUGCAUUCAUGCUUUCCCCUG